CCUACGGGUGGCUGCAGUGGGGAAUAUUGGACAAUGGGGGGAACCCUGAUCCAGCCAUGCCGCGUGUGUGAAGAAGGCCCUCGGGUUGUAAAGCACUUUCAGUGAGGAAGAACGCCUGGUGGUUAAUACCCAUCAGGAAAGACAUCACUCACAGAAGAAGCACCGGCUAACUCCGUGCCAGCAGCCGCGGUAAUACGGAGGGUGCGAGCGUUAAUCGGAAUUACUGGGCGAAAGCGCGCGUAGGUGGCUUGAUAAGCCGGUUGUGAAAGCCCCGGGCUCAACCUGGGAACGGCAUCCGGAACUGUCAAGCUAGAGUGCAGGAGAGGAAGGUAGAAUUCCCGGUGUAGCGGUGAAAUGCGUAGAGAUCGGGAGGAAUACCAGUGGCGAAGGCGGCCUUCUGGACUGACACUGACACUGAGGUGCGAAAGCGUGGGUAGCAAACAGGAUUAGAUACCCCAGUAGUC
rnacentral:rRNA from 1 species